rnacentral:rRNA from 1 species
GACGAACGCUGGCGGCGUGCCUAAUACAUGCAAGUCGAGCGCUGACGGGUGGUUCGUGUUCCCACCGGAUGAGCAGCGAACGGGUGAGUAACGCGUGGGUAAUCUGCCUUUGAGCGGGGGACAACAUUUGGAAACGAAUGCUAAUACCGCAUAAAAACUUUAAACACAAGUUUUAAGUUUGAAAGAUGCAAUUGCAUCACUCAAAGAUGAUCCCCCGUUGGAUUAGCUAGUUGGUGAGGUAAAGGCCUACCAAGGCGAGGAUACAUAGCCGACCUGAGAGGGUGAUCGGCCACAUUGGGACUGAGACACGGCCCAAACUCCUACGGGAGGCAGCAGUAGGGAAUCUUCGGCAAUGGACGAAAGUCUGACCGAGCAACGCCGCGUGAGUGAUGAAGGUUUUCGGAUCGUAAAACUCUGUUGGUAGGGAAGAACGUGAGUGAGAGUAGAAAGCUCAUCAAGUAAGGGAAACGAACAAGAAGGGGAGGGUUAACUACGU